UAUAGGAGAGAACAAUAGAUAGACAUGCCUUUACCAUCCUUUUACAACCCAGUUAUUCUGUCUUGAUGAAUAAAACACACUGAUUUCCAUGGUUUGCAGCACUACGAUAUGCUCAAAAACAUCACAAGUUGGCUCAGAGUGGUCCAGCAGUCUAAAGCGCUGCCACUAUGAUCGGAAGAUCGCUGGUUUGAAUCCCAGUCAUGCAGCCUGCCAUCAGCUGCCGGAGCCCUACCUCUGUCGGUGAGCUGAUGUAUCGAAAACGAGUCGCUGCACUUUCCUCCAAGUGCCCUGCGCUUUUCUCCGAGUGCGCUGUGAUACUACUCGGCAAUGCUGCAUCAACAGCAGAAAGAAAAGAGGCGGAGUCUGACUUCACAUGUGUCAGAGGAAGAGACAUGAAGGAAAAUGAAAAGAACCACAGCAGGGACGGUCAAAUUUGGGUUGGAUGUUUUUUCCCCCUUCAGACACAUUCUCCGCAGAUGAAGCACCAUUUGCGGGCUUUCAGAAACACCAUGCAGCAGAGUGAUUGCGAGAAGGGGAGGGAUAUAAUCAGCUCCAGCUCCUCCGAGCCGAGGCCGAGACGUGUUAAGAUGGCUUAUGGAAACACUGCCAAGGGUCUAAUAAUAGCCCAGCACACGGCUGUGUUUAGAACUGGCACUGUGUCUAAACUUAGAGCUCACCGGCCCUUUCUUGUCCAACCCCUCACUCAGUCUGAUCACAUGCUGGAGAGCAGAGGACUGAAGCUGAGUCAUCAAUGCUCGAUCUUCUUCAUAACUCGUCGUCUUUAUUGUUCUGAACUUCACUUUACCUGUUUAUGUGUUGUAUGAAAAAUAUGGGUUACACUUUAUAAUAACUUUCAUUAAUAUACCAUUAACCAAUGAUUAAUAACUGUUAUUUCUCAUAUUUUAAGAAAUUAAAAAGGUGCUAUCACAUUUGUAAAUACUAAUGAACACAUUGGCAACAUGAACUGCGAUUAAUAAACAUUUGCCUGGUUUAAAAUUCGUAUUAACU
rnacentral:lncRNA from 1 species